AAAAUAAAAAGAUCGAUGACAGUGUUAAAAAUCGACAGUUUUCAUUAAACAAAACUUUAAACUACCGAACUAUGUCGUUUUUAAUAUUAACACAUUCUCAGUAUUGGUGUAAAAUGAGUUCAAAGUACGAACGGUACUGGCAUUUUGUGUUAAAAUUGCUGAAUUCGGCCAUUUCAGACUCAAAAUUCGCUUAUUAGCAACCCUUGCUCCGGUUAACAAUUUAUAACAGCUAUUAAAAUUGUUAAUUCCAUUUAAUAUUUUCCUAACCAGAAACCGGAGCAAGGGUUGCUAAUAAACGAAUUUUGGAAAAAACGAUAAUAUUUGUUUGGCCUUUUUCACGUAUACGAGUAGCCUCCCUUGAAGCUAGGUGCUCGUUGCCAGGCAAUAUUAUAGGUGGCGCCACUGUCAACAUGUGGAUGUGAAAACGAAAGUAGAUUAUUUAUCGUGGAAUAAUUACAAUUGUUUACCCUUCUACGUGGAAUUUAUAUGGUAAUGGUAUGAAUUGAGAUGAUUUAUUUAGUUACCUUCAACUGGUCAGUGGUCAACAAGGGAGUAUUACUGUGUGUCUUGAAACAUUGAAUGCCCCAAAACAACCAGUAUGAUAAGAAGGCCAGAAUAUACAGCUUCCCAAAAUGUUGAAAGACUAAGCUGUUUUUUCUAAGGACUUGUGAGUAUUUUGAGUGUUUGAUUUCUCUUUUUAACCCUAUGAUUGAAUAUUUCAUUUCAGUUAGUGAUGGCACUUUUUCCAGUAAUUUGCAUCUACCUUUCAACAUGUUUACAAGGGACAGCAAAAAUAGAGAUGUAUCUUUUCUUAAAAUUUUAACAUUUAACAUUUUUUACACAGAAAGCAAAAUAUUUUAAAUACUUGGAAAAUUAUUUUUAUUUCUUUUAUUCUAGGUAUACUAUUUAGGUUGAAAUUAGCAAUGGACAAUGAAUUUGGAGGUGCAUGCUGGAGCAUCAGAAAUUACAUACUUGGAAUAAAUAUUUGCAAAAUAUACAAGUAACAUUUACUGAAAAGUGACUAAUGUUUAUGUAAAUAAAGUGCAAUAUCCAUCUUUGUAACAUUUACAUGGGGGUAAUAGUUACAGUGUUGAAAGAGACUGCCAGUGUUACAUUUCAAUCUAAGUUACAGUGUGGAUGCUAAUUCUAAAUUCUUGAUAGUCAAGUGUUUUUAGUAACUUAUGGAUACUAAUUAUUUAUCAAACUGUUUAAUUUAUUACAUUCCUACAUCAUUAUUUUACACAAAAUGUUUGUGGUUAUAUAAUAUAUGUUUAUAUGGUAAUAAAUUUUGUUUCUGUGUAAAUAUCUUUGUUUUUGAAAAAUGAAAAUGAAACAUUCAGUGACCAUCUUCUGUCAACAAGUUAUUAUAAAUGCAACAAAACUGAUGAAAAGUUAUCCAAUUAUUUUUCACAGGUUAAUAUUGAAUAGCAGAAUACACAUAACAUUGUGUAAUUUUCCUAACUUGUAUCUGAGGCCAUUAUAAAUUAAUUGCUAGAUUAAAUUUUCUUCACAAGGGUAAGAAUUUUUUUUUAUUUCAGAUAUAUUUUAUUUUUGUUUAAUGAAGAGUUAAAUAGAAAUAAUCACAUGUAAUAGUUAUUUUUGUCAAAUAGAUUUGAUUAUAAGGAAUAACAACUGAAAGAAAAUAAUUUAUUACAUUCUUUAUAGAAGUUUUCCAUACUAAAAAUGGUAAGGGGAGGCAUAAAAAUAGUGGGAGUGGAUGAUAAUCUAUCAAUUAAUAUAGUAUGGCCUUACAUAUAUAAAUCAAUAAAUAUUUACUGGCAAUAAUAUUGAUUAGGUAUGAUGCAGCUAUAUGUUAAAUAUAUAUUUUUUUAAAUGGUGAUUUGUUAUGAGAAAAUAAGCUGAUAUAUACAGUCUAGAGUCUUCUUGUAAGCUGCAUAAUCAUGCUUGGAACUAGCUCCAUAUGUCCUUUCUUUUGAAAUCAUAAACUUUACUUCAUAUAAAAUAACCAAGUAUCACAAUUAUAUGAAUGUGUACACAACUGAAAAAGCAUUGCAUUCAUUUUCUUAAGUAAUAGUUAGCAUUUGGUUAUUACUCAUAUUUGGCUUUCAGUAACUGGAAAGGGAAAUCAAUAAAAGGAAUUUAUGAUUAUACACAAAAUAUGGAGAAGACUGAAAGCAGUAACUGAUCAUUGCAAUAAUAGCAGAAUACUUCAGCUUAUGAUUGUCAAAAUUCAUUGUAGACUAAUAGAUGAACUCUUUCUUUAAGGUGCCAGUAGGUUAAAUGUCAAUAUCACAGUGACCCUAUAUAAGACUGAAAUAUUUUAUUAUCGAAAGCUGAAUGAUACUUAAUUUUGCCCAUUGUCAUCAGGCUUUAAAUGUAACAGAUGAAUAAUUUGGGGUCAGUAGAUCAAAGAUAAAGGUCACAGUGACAAUUAGAUAAACAGUGAU